AAUUAACAGAGUGGUGGAAGAGUACAGGAUGGAUCGAAACCAUGGUAUUAUUAAUGAUCGUUACUUGCAAGUAACAACUAUAUUCAAAAUCUGUAGAGAAAUCAGAUUAAAAAAAAAAUAUGGGAAUUGAGUGUUUUAGGUGACAUAUCAGAAGCUAAAUUCCCGUUAUAAAUUAUUUUUGAUAUCUAUUCUUUUCAAUAAACCAAACAAGCCAAUUGAAAUCAAUGGCUUGGGUUAUAACAAUUAGUGAUCAGAUAUGUAUUCCGACAAGAAGUGGUAUAAAAAGUCGAAAAUGAGAAACAAGGAAUCUCAAAGGAUUUACUGAUAUAAUCGACUUGGUGGUAAGAUGGAUGGAUGACAUGAAUGAUUAGAAAGGCGUACGAAAGAAUAUUAAAUUAAAAAAAAAAAGCACCAACGAGUGUAUGUCAGUAAAAGACCAAGCUAAACCGUUACGUAUUUUUACUAAUGGAUGAUUUUGGUGCAUACAUAUAGAAUUUUAAGCGUCAAAAAGGUCACUAGUGAUACGAAAAUGUGGAGACGGGUCAGAGCGUGCCCAAGUAAAAUCCAAAAUAGGAUGCUCAUCUUUAUAAGAAAAGGAUAUCUCCUUUGAUUCUUCAAUGACGGGCGAUGUUUUGCAUCGCAGGUGCACACGAAGGUUGGUAGAAUGGUGAAGACGAAACUAGAAGGCGUUAGCGAUAUAAUCAAUCAAAAGAAGGGCCAGAAGGCAAAGUAAAAUCAAACAGUAGAAAGCAUUAUCAAUUUUGUUUACACAGCAUUGUUGUGAUCCAUACUAAGAAUAUGGGAUCUAAAUAUUGACAACCUAAUAUAAUGAUAGCAGUCUCUACGUCUAACUAAUAGUUUCCAUCAAAACCAUCGUCUAGAUGCCUUCAAAUUUAUCAAAAAAACUUACUUGGUGACACGAUACACAGAUUGUUGAGUCGUUAAUAUCAGAAAGAUGGAUAGAACCCUGAAUGGUUGGGAAAGUAAAGUUGCAUUUUGUAGCGUUAUGUAAGUUCACAGAUGAGCAGUUGGAUAUGGAAAUAUUGCAUGAUCGUAAACUUUUUGCGGAAACUUUGACAGCUUUGUUGUUAGGAUAUGGAAUGACAUUAUCUCCAAUGUUUUGGUUUUUCAAAUUUGCCAAGUACAGGGUGUCAUUUUCAAAAUAAACUUCUGGAGCUUCAGCAUUAACUGUAAUAUUUUUUACCGGUUUCUGGGACGAUUUGACGUGCAGUGCCCGUUGAAAGCGAAAUGGCUGUCUGGGCAAAAUGUCGUGUCGAAUUUGCUGAAGCCUUCGUGUCAAAUCUACUAGUUGUUCCAUGCAUACUCUCCUGUCAUAUGGUGCAAUUUGGUCUUGAACUUCAUUUAGCUCCCUCGUCAUUUCACCUAAAUAUUUUGACUUUUCUUCAAGCCAAGUCUCUUUUUCGGAGCGAGAAGUCUGCUCACUAGGAGUGGAUUUAUAUAAUUUGGUAAGAAAUUCUACAAAAAAGUAGUUAGUAAAUAGCACAACAAACAGACCUUUCGAUAUGAACGAAAUUGCAGAUGUAAAUAAACCCAUACCUUUUCUCAAUUCGACGAACUUUUCAGACAUUUUUCCUUUUAAAUUAGAACUAAAACACCCGUUAUAUAUGCAAAAUUAAAUCACAGUACGUUAUGCUGUGUUCAAUGAUCAUUCAAUAAACAUAUAUUUUUUCAAUUUUAACCUGCACCAAAAGUCAUUCAAACAGCUCGGGAAAAAAAGGAUUCUUAAAUAAAUUCAUCAAAUCAGUAUUAGUUUUAAUCUUAACUUCGAUACUUCGGGUGCAAAAAUUAUUAUGAAUUUUUAAAAUUGAAACCAAAAAUCCA